UUGAGUAAAAUGAACAUUGUUGUUUUAUUCUAUAAACUACAGACAACAUUCCUCCCAAAUUCCAAAUAAAAAUAUUCUCAUUUAGAGCAUUUAUUUACAGAAAAUGAGAAAUGUCUGAAAUAACAAAAAAGAUGCAGAACUUUCAGACCUCAAAUAAUGCAAAGAAAACAACAAGUUCAUAUUCAUAAAGUUUUAAGAGUUCAGAAAUCAAUAUUUGGUGGAAUAACCCUGGUUGUUUUUUAAUCACAGUUUUUAUGCAUCUUGGCAUCAUGUUCUCCUCCACCAGUCUUACACACUGCUUUUGGAUAACUUUAUGCUGCUUUACUCCUGGUGUAAAAAUUCAAGCAGUUCAGUUUGGUGGUUUGAUGGUUUGUGAUCAUCCAUCUUCCUCUUGAUUAUAUUCCAGAGAUUUUUAAUUUGGUAAAAUCAAAGAAACUCAUUUUUUUAAGGGCUCUCUUAUUUUUUUUUCAGAUUAUUACAAAUAAAUAAAGACAAAUAAAUUAUGGAUUUCUCUAUAUUUGUAGGGGAGCAGGAUUGUACAUUCCUAUCUUUUAAUCUGGUAUUUAAACUAAACUAAGCUAAUAAACAAUGGUCCAAUCAGUGUUGUUCUCUCAGUGGUAUCUAGGCAGAUUUAACUAAAUCCGCUCUCCCAUUGGUCGGGACUGCACUGGUAGAACUAAAGACCAUCAGAUAACCUAUUGGUUUGGUUUACAGCGGGUGGGAAAAAACUUGCAUACAGUUUACAUUCAAAUUAUUGGGGGGGGGGAGGUUAAUUGGUUAAUUGCUACAUUAAGAAGAAAAAACAGGCAAUUUUAACGUAGUAACGCAUUUUUGUUGCACGUCUGCUGUAAUUGUCUCCACCCCCAGUCCAGCCCAGAGGCCGUGAUUGGUCGCUGCGCAGAUCACCUGAGUACUGUACUUAAUGUCCGAUUAUGUUCUACCUACUGAACCCAACUCACCUGGUGUUCAGCUUCAGACCGUGCCGUUCUGAUUCCUCCUCUCUGAUAGGCUGAAACCCAACCGUGCAAUAAAUCAUCACCGUCCUGUGUUCCUGUGAUAAAUCUGCCAAAUAAGAUUAUUAAUCACACAGAGCGCUGGGUCUGAGUUCAUCUGUAUCGUAAACGUUGUGUAAAAAUAUUCUGUUUGAGUAAAAAUAAUAAUAACAGGUUCGCUGGAUGAGGAAUCGUUCUGAAGGAAUCGACACUUCAGUUCAUCAUCAGGGAUUCAUACCGGGUACAUACGAAUAAUACAUACUGUUACUGAACCAUUCUGAGGAACUGAUUCCUUUAAUUCUGUUGUUGUGAAAUUGGACAAACUAAGCUUUUUAGAACAAACUAGAACCCCAAAUGAACAAAUGAACAUUUAUCUUAAGGGCACAAGAUAAUAUAUUAAGGCCAUAAGAUAAUAUGCAUAAUAUGCAAAGACCACAAUAAAUUACAUUGAGGUCACUAUAUAAUAUAUUAAAGAACAGAAAAUAUCAUAUUGAGGCCAUAAGAUAUUACAUACUGAGGCCAUGACAAUAUAUUAAGCCCACAGCAACAUGUAGGGCCCACAUGAUAAUAUUUUAAAGCCACAAGAUGUUAUAUUAAGAGCAUCAGAUACUACACUGAGGUCACUAUAUAAUAUAUUGAGGCCAUUAUAUAUUAUAUUAAGGCCACAAGAUAAUAUAUUAAAACCACAAGAUAAUGUAUCUUUUUCACAAAAAAAGUACAAGUACACCAAUACUUCAAAAUUACCAAAUGACUCCAAAAUUACAUAAUUAUACCAAAAUUAUGGACAGUUGCAUAAUUAAUCCACAGUUGUGGACAAUUGCAUAAAUUAGUCUAAAAAUAUUGACAAUUGCAUAAUUAUUCCAAAUUAUGGACAAAUGCAAUUUGGAAUAAUUUUGCAUUAUAAUUCCAAAAUUACAUUAAUCUUAUGGACAAUUGCAUAAAUUACUAGAGAAUUAUGGACAAUUAUUAGUCUAAAAUUACAUAAAAUUGGAUAAUUACUUUAAAAUUAUGUAAAAUUACAAAAUUCGUCCAAAAAUAUGGACAAAUACAUAAUACUCCAAAAUUCUGGACAAUUACAGAAUUUUUCCAAAAUUGCAUAAAACUGCAUAAAUAAGUCCAUAAUUAUGGACAACUGCUUAAUUACUCCAAAAUUACAUAAAAAUGCAUAAUGUAUUGAAGCCACCCAGUAUAUUCAUACCACAAGAUAAUAUACUUUCUUCACAUAAAAAUAUGUAAAAGUACAUCAUUACUCCAUAAUUACCUAAAAUUAUAUAAUUACACCAAAAUUAUGGACAAUUGCAUGAAUAACAUACAAUUACAUACAUGCAUGAAUUGCAUGAAAUUACAUACAAUAAAUUUGUUUUGUUACAAAAUUCAAUUGAAACAAGUGGUAUUGAAGUAAUAUUUUUAAGUGAAUUUUUACAUCUUUAUAUAUAUAUAUAUAUAUAGAUAGAUAGAUAGAUUAAUUGCAUGAAGUUUGUCCAAUUUCACACAAGCUACAGUAGGUCAGUUAUGAUUGUGUUCAUAAAGGUGAGUUAUUAAAGGUUAAUUAAAGGUUAUUUAAGGUGGUCCAGAUCAGCACACGGUUCUGUUGCCAUAUUUUUCUGUUCUCGCUCGUCCUGCGGAGAGUAACGGGACUAAGGGCUCGAUCCCAGAGUUAUGAAGUCAAGCUUUCCAGAACAUUAGGACCACUUACCUCCACCCCUGUCCCCCUGCAGAUCUGUCUGAAAGUCCUCCUCCAUCCCGUGCUGUUUAAUGAGCCUGUCCUGUAUUAUACUGUAUGCUAAUAUAGCGCACAUUAAUGUAGAGUUAAGCAAUAAGUCUGCGCUCAUCACUAUCAUCACCCCCCCGAACGCUGUCGAGACCGAUCAUCGCCUGUACAGAUGAUACGAUACGUAAUGUGUAUGAAUCCAGCACACGUGCCCUGUACAUAUAGAGGAUAUGCAUAUGGAUCAACAGUUGCCAUUAUUUUUCAGAAAACAUUUGUUUUUGUACAUCAGUAAAAAAUUAAAUUUCAACUUUAAACUUU